rnacentral:rRNA from 1 species
UGGCGCUUAAGGAGGAGCUCGCGGCCUAUCAGCUAGUUGGUGAGGUAAUGGCUCACCAAGACAAUGAUCAAUAGCUGAUCUGAGAGGAUGAUCAGCCACACUGGGACUGAGACACGGCCCAGACUCCUACGGGAGGCAGCAGUGGGGAAUCUUGCACAAUGGAGGAAACUCUGAUGCAGCGAUGCCGCGUGAGUGAAGAAGGCCUUUGGGUUGUAAAGCUCUUUUGUAGGGGAAGAUAAUGACUGUACCCUAAGAAUAAGGUCCGGCUAACUUCGUGCCAGCAGCCGCGGUAAUACGAAGGGACCUAGCGUAGUUCGGAAUUACUGGGCGUAAAGCGCGCGUAGGCCGUUGAGUUAGUUAAUUGUGAAAUCCCAAAGCUUAACUUUGGAACUGCAAUUAAAACUGCUCGACUAGAGUUUGAUAGAGGAAAGCGGAAUACAUAGUGUAGAGGUGAAAUUCGUAGAUAUUAUGUAGAACAACCGUUGCGAAAGCGGCUUUCUGGAUCAACACUGACGCUGAGGCGCGAAAGUAUGGGUAGCAAAGAGGAUUAGAUACCCUUCGUAGUCCAUACCUUAAACGAUGAUUGCUAGAUCGUUGAAAUUUAUUUUCAAUAUCGCAGCUUACGUCUUAACCCAUCCGCCGGGGGAAUACAACGCUAGGUUAAA